CUUUACCUUUUUGCUUGCCAGCCAGCCAGCCCACUUGCAGCCCUAAGGGUUCGAGCCAUUGGCGAAAAGUGGUGGCAUGCUGUUCUGCCAGUAACUCGGUGGGUGCCAUUAAGGCAACCUGCUUGCCGUGAGCAAUGGCACGCAGUGCGGCCAGUGCUGCAACCAAUGUUUUCCCGGAGCCAACAUCCCCUUGAAUCAAUCGCAUCAUUGGGAAGUUAUGGGCCAUAUCUUGCUCGAUCUCCGCCACUACUCGUU
rnacentral:ncRNA from 17 species